AUGCUCUACGGGGUCUUGCGAACUCGUUGGACUCGCCGGGGUGACCAAAUGGUCACCGGAGCUGCGUCGACGGCAAGCUCGGCGACGGCGGAGCCCGAAGAGGGGAACGGCGACGUGGCGGCGAUGCAGGGCUUCCGGGGAGCUGUGGAGCAGUGGGGAGGAAGAGGGAGUCGAGGCGGAGCUCCUGAGCUGGUGUACAAUACCCUUGGGGUGACCUACAAGCGCGAGAACAAACUGGACAAGGCAAUCAAGCAAUUCGAGAAGGCCGUGGAGCUCCGACCAGGCUAUGUGACAGCAUGGAACAACCUCGGCGAUGCAUAUGAGCAGCAGAAGUACCUCGCGUCCGCGCUCAGGGCAUUCAAGGAGAUAUUGCUCUUUGAUCCAAAAAACAAGGUGGCAAGGCCGCGCCGAGAUGACCUCAAGUCACGUGUUCGCAUGUACAAGGGCAUGCCAGUGAAGACGACGGACAAGCAAUAG
rnacentral:rRNA from 1 species